GCGAACCAAGAUUUUGUGAUUGCUUUGAGGGACACCGUGCUUAUGCACAAAGAAACUUUGACAAUAGUCGUUGCCGAAAUAAAUGAAAUUAUCAAAUCGUUGGAUGAGAUUGGACAAGGUCCACAACCCUCCAUAACAGUGUCAAAUGAUAAGGUUUUGUGCCAUGAAGACCAGAAAACAAUGAAAUCUUUUAACGACAGACUUGCGAUACUAUAUGCCAUUGAACAGAAGCAUACCAAAAUGUUGGAAGAGCAUCGAAGCCAUGCUGCCGAAAUUCAGGCUAGCGUAGACAGUAUAACCACUGAAAUUCAACAUCUUCACAAAAAGCUCGAAGAUCAAGGCGCAACCCUGACAUCUGUUAAUCAAAACACAACAGAAACAAAUGCAAACGUAAAAAUUAUCGCACAAGGUUU